UCCCCUCAGUAAUGGCGAAUGAACAGGGGCCAGCUCAGCAUUAGAAUUGGAGCUUCGCGGCUCUGAAUUGUAGUCUGUAGACGCACCUCCAACCUAGGUGCAGGUGUAAGCCUCUUGGAAAAGAGCGCCAGGGAGGGUGAGAGCCCCUUUUCGUCGCCUGCAGCCCUAAGUGCACGGAGUGCAUUCUAAGAGUCACGUUCCUUGGGAUUGGAGCGCAAAGCGGGUGGUACAUUUCAUCCAAAGCUGAAUAUAGGUUUGAGACCGAUAGCAUACAAGUACCAUGAGGGAAAGGUGAAAAGGACUUUGGAAAGAGAGUUAAAGAGAGCCUGCCAUUGCUGAAACGGAAGCGAAUGACACCAGUAUGACUAUGCGAGAUUGCUGUGCGCCAAUGGAAGGACCCGUUGCUUCAACGCAAGUGUGGCGGUGGGCACCAGACCAGGACGCGCGUAGUGUUUCUUGUGUGGUUGGUUGUUGCAGCUGUGCUGUGUGGGGAAACAUACAAGUCCCUGGUAGCACUCUUACGGGGGUGUGAAUGAGCUUGUCUAUACCCGCUCGUGUAGCUGUUGAUGACUAAAUGGUGUCCUUCGACCCGUCUUGAAACACGGACCAAGGAGUCUAACACAUGUGCAAGUUCUUGGGUAGUAAAACCCACGAGCGUAAUGAAAGUGACUGCUGGGAUAAUUGCGCCAGCAACCGACCGAUCAUUUAGGUGAGGUUUGAGUAUGAGCAUAUCUGUUAGGACCCGAAAGAUGGUGAACUAUGCCUGUGAAGGGUAAACUCAGGGGAAACUCUGAUGGAGGCUCGUAGCGGUACUGACGUGCAAAUCGUUCGUCAAACAUGGGUAUGGGGGCGAAAGACUAAUCGAACCAUCUAGUAGCUGGUUCCCUCCGAAGUUUCCCUCAGGAUAGCUGGAGUUGUGCAGUUUUAUCAGGUAAAGCGAAUGAUUAGAGGAAUCAGGGACGCGUUGUCCUUGACCUAUUCUCAAACUUUAAAUGGGUAAGAUCCAGUAGUUACUUAGCUGAACUUCUGGGGUACAUGAUAACUCUAAGUGGGCCAUUUUUGGUAAGCAGAACUGGCGAUGAGGGAUGAACCUAACGCUGGGAUAAGGUGCUUAAUUUCUCGCUCAUCAGAUACCAUAAAGGGUGUUGGUUCAUUCUAACAGCAGGACGGUGGUCAUGGAAGUUGAAAUCCGCUAAGGAGUGUGUAACAACUCACCUGCCGAAUGGACUAGCCCCGAAAAUGGAUAGCGCUCAAGCGGGAGACCGAUACCCAACCAUUGCUGCAAACAUGCUGCGACAAUGAGUAGGAGGGCAUGGGGGCUUGUGAUGAAGCCU
rnacentral:rRNA from 1 species